UACGUAGGGUGCAAGCGUUGUCCGGAAUUAUUGGGCGUAAAGAGCUUGUAGGCGGUUUGUCGCGUCUGCUGUGAAAUUUCGGGGCUCAACCCCCGAACUUGCAGUGGGUACGGGCAGACUAGAGUGUGGUAGGGGAGACUGGAAUUCCUGGUGUAGCGGUGAAAUGCGCAGAUAUCAGGAGGAACACCGGUGGCGAAGGCGGGUCUCUGGGCCGAUACUGACGCUGAGGAGCGAAAGCGUGGGGGAGCAAACAGG
rnacentral:rRNA from 1 species